AUAGGACCCACCAUAACCCACAACGCACUGUAGAUACCUGAGUUCUGCGUGUGCCAUCAUCCGUAGUCCUAUCCCUCUUUUCCCGCUGCCUCUGCUAGCUCAGAUUUGGCAGCUCGGAUCUUGGUCUCAGAUUCAAUUGUGGGAAUAUUUUGUGCUGAUUUUUUUGAGUUCUGUCAGCCAAGCAUCUGCUGUGCACCCCUCUAACACUCAGCACAUCAAAUUGAAUCCCAUGUGUGCCGCCCGCUUCAGAGUGUACGUCCAAGUAAAACAGUUUCACCUUUGAUGCUCCAUUACCAGAGAUCAGAUCCUGCACUGGUUUCCAUUCUCUACUUUGCCUUCUCCUGCUUCCAGGUUUUCUGAGGCCUCAUCAUGUCUUUGGAAAUAACAGACCAGUCUUCAGCAAGUGUCCUGUGCCAAGGGCUGGACGUCAGGAAUCUUGGACCCUUUCUUGGAGCAGAGAUUCGAGUAACUUUCUCAAGUGCACGUUGACACACCGUAUGUUUCUCAGAACAACUCUCAUCAAUGUGUUCGCACCUCUCCUCAAUCCGUGCCUCCAGCUUUUCUGCCAGCUUCUCUUCGUGUCUCCCAUAAAGUCGAAGUCAAGAGGACUGGGUAAGUCAGAAAGUACCGCGGAGCCACACCAGUAAGCUGAUGACAGGCAGAUCUUCCAAUGUCUGCCCUUUAAGAUUCUGGAAACUGUCCCUUGAUGUCAGGUCUUUGGGCAGCAGCAGUAUCUCGAACUUACACAGCUUCCUGAACAAAAGACCUAAGCCAAUCUCCACAUAGGGUAGUAGGCCCUCCAUCACACUGAUCCACCCAAAGUAUUCUGCCCAGUUACCUUGGAUCCACCAGCCACAACAAGCCUCGUGGUACUCACCAACAUUCCACCUGGAAUCCAACCGGUAACUGCCAUCCCCAGUGGUUGCUGCAUUAGGUCAGUGUUGGGGGUGGGGCUGCAUUAGUCGAGAGGUUACUAAGGGAAAUGUGAUUCUAUCCACAAGGGUCCCAUGGUCCUUUUCUCUUCCCUCUUUCCUUUUGUUCAGAUCUGUAUACACAGUACAUACGGAAGGAAGUGUGUCCAUGUUCAGUUUAUGGUUUCACACGUCUUUAAACUUUCUAAAAUUUCACAGAACACAGAGACCCACUCAUGGAAACUCAUGUUUGUGUAAUAUCCAGUCACCCAGAAUACAUAUCCGUCUGGUGCUUUCUGCUGAAA